rnacentral:rRNA from 1 species
CCUACGGGAGGCAGCAGUGAGGAAUCUUGGUCAAUGGACGAGAGUCUGAACCAGCCAAGUAGCGUGAAGGAUGACUGCCCUAUGGGUUGUAAACUUCUUUUAUAAAGGAAUAAAACGAGGCACGUGUGCAUUUUUGCAUGUACUUUAUGCAUAAGGAUCGGCUAACUCCGUGCCAGCAGCCGCGGUAAUACGGAGGGUCCGAGCGUUAUCCGGAUUUAUUGGGUUUAAAGGGAGCGUAGAUGGGUUGUUAAGUCAGUUGUGAAAGUGUUCGGCUCAACCUUAAAAUUGCAAUUGAUACUGGCAGUCUUGAGUACAAUGGAGGUAGGCGGAAUUCGUGGUGUAGCGGUGAAAUGCUUAGAUAUCAGGAAGAACCCCGAUUGCGAAGGCAGCUUACUAAACUGUGACUGACAUUGAGGCUCGAAAGUGUGGGUAUCAAACAGGAUUAGAUACCCCUGUAGUC